GGGGAUAUAGCUCAGUGGUAGAGCAUGCACUUGGCCUGCAGGAGGGCCUGGGUUCAGUCCCCAGGAACCCCC
rnacentral:tRNA from 1 species